rnacentral:rRNA from 1 species
UAGGGAAUCUUCCGCAAUGGGCGAAAGCCUGACGGAGCAACGCCGCGCGAGUGAUGAAGGUCUUCGGAUCGUAAAACUCUGUUAUUAGGGAAGAACAAAUGUGUAAGUAACUAUGCACGUCUUGACGGUACCUAAUCAGAAAGCCACGGCUAACUACGUGCCAGCAGCCGCGGUAAUACGUAGGUGGCAAGCGUUAUCCGGAAUUAUUGGGCGUAAAGCGCGCGUAGGCGGUUUUUUAAGUCUGAUGUGAAAGCCCACGGCUCAACCGUGGAGGGUCAUUGGAAACUGGAAAACUUGAGUGCAGAAGAGGAAAGUGGAAUUCCAUGUGUAGCGGUGAAAUGCACAGAGAUAUGGAGGAACACCAGUGGCGAAGGCGACUUUCUGGUCUGUAACUGACGCUGAUGUGCGAAAGCGUGGGGAUCAAACAGG